UACGUAGGGUGCGAGCGUUGUCCGGAAUUAUUGGGCGUAAAGAGCUUGUAGGCGGUUUGUCGCGUCUGCCGUGAAAGUCCGGGGCUCAACUCCGGAUCUGCGGUGGGUACGGGCAGACUAGAGUGAUGUAGGGGAGACUGGAAUUCCUGGUGUAGCGGUGAAAUGCGCAGAUAUCAGGAGGAACACCGGUGGCGAAGGCGGGUCUCUGGGCCGAUACUGACGCUGAGGAGCGAAAGCGUGGGGAGCGAACAGG
rnacentral:rRNA from 1 species